rnacentral:rRNA from 1 species
UACAGAGGGUGCAAACGUUGCUCGGAAUCAUUGGGCGUAAAGCGCACGUAGGCGGUUCGUUAUGUCGGAUGUGAAAGCCCUUGGCUUAACCGAGGAAGUGCAUCCGAAACUGGCGAGCUAGAGUACGAAAGAGGAUCGCGGAAUUCCCGGUGUAGAGGUGAAAUUCGUAGAUAUCGGGAGGAACACCGGUGGCGAAGGCGGCGAUCUGGGUCGAUACUGACGCUGAGGUGCGAAAGCGUGGGGAGCAAACAGG